rnacentral:rRNA from 1 species
AUUGAACGCUGGCGGCAUGCCUUACACAUGCAAGUCGAACGGCAGCGGACCUUCGGGUGCCGGCGAGUGGCGAACGGGUGAGUAAUAUAUCGGAACGUACCUUUCAGUGGGGGAUAACGUAGCGAAAGUUACGCUAAUACCGCAUAUUCUGUGAGCAGGAAAGCAGGGGAUCGCAAGACCUUGCGCUGAUUGAGCGGCCGAUAUCAGAUUAGCUAGUUGGUGAGGUAAAGGCUCACCAAGGCGACGAUCUGUAGCGGGUCUGAGAGGAUGAUCCGCCACACUGGAACUGAGACACGGUCCAGACUCCUACGGGAGGCAGCAGUGGGGGAAUUUUGGACAAUGGGCGCAAGCCUGAUCCAGCCAUGCCGCGUGAGUGAAGAAGGCCUGUGUAAGAUCUUCGUCGGACGAAUACGCACGGUAGUAACCUCGUGUGGAGUG